rnacentral:rRNA from 1 species
UACAGAGGGGGCAAGCGUUGUUCGGAAUUACUGGGCGUAAAGGGCGCGUAGGCGGUUAUCUAAGUCAGACGUGAAAUCCCCCGGCUUAACCUGGGAACUGCGUCUGAUACUGGAAGGCUUGAGUAUGGGAGAGGGAUGUAGAAUUCCAGGUGUAGCGGUGAAAUGCGUAGAUAUCUGGAGGAAUACCGGUGGCGAAGGCGGCAUCCUGGACCAUUACUGACGCUGAGGCGCGAAAGCUAGGGGAGCAAACGGG